rfam:Myotis davidii contig117070, whole genome shotgun sequence.
CGUUCCCGCUCUGAACUCCAGUUCCAGGCGAGUCUCUGGGGACCCAGACUCAUACGGGGAGAAACUGGACUGUUUGGCAGCGGGCCGA